rnacentral:rRNA from 1 species
GAGAUGUGUGAUGACGCAUAUCAAUAAGCGGAGGAAAAGGAAACUAACAAGGAUUCCCUUAGUAACGGCGAGUGAAGCGGGAAGAGCUCAAAUUUGAAAUCUUCAAGGUUCUACCUUGACGAAUUGUAGUUUAUAGAAGUGUUUUCUGUUAGUGGAGUGGCAAAAGUUCUUUGGAAUAGGACAUCAUAGAGGGUGAGAAUCCCGUAUUUGGUCAUUCCUCCUAGCGUUGUGAUACACUUUCAACGAGUCGGAUUGUUUGGGAAUGCAGUCCAAAAUGGGUGGUAAAUUUCAUCUAAAGCUAAAUAUUGGCGAGAGACCGAUAGCGAACAAGUACCGUGAGGGAAAGAUGAAAAGAACUUUGAAAAGAGAGUUAAACAGUACGUGAAAUUGUCAAAAGGGAAGCGUUUGACACCAGUGUUGUUUUUCCGAAAAUCAAUUACGAAUGUUUUGUUUUUAAGAAGUUAUGACUUCAUCGGCUUGCUUCUUUCUUUACGAAACUUUCUUAAUGCACUUUUCGGUUAACAAGUCAACAUCAAUUUCUUUUGUUGUAAAAGGGUAUGAGGAAGGUGGCUUUCUUUUCGGAGAAAGUGUUUAUAGCCUUGUGCCUCUGCAAUCGGAGAGAUUGAGGUCUGCAGCGUAGAUCCUUCGGGGUUAGAUACAUUUGUGCUAAGUUAUAGCUUUUCAUAGACAACUUGUUGACUAUGUUUAGUCUUGUAGCUUACUCGCUUAUGCUAUUUUACCUACGCUUAGGAUGUUGAGUAGCGACAUACGCAC